UAGGGAAUCUUCGGCAAUGGACGGAAGUCUGACCGAGCAACGCCGCGUGAGUGAAGAAGGUUUUCGGAUCGUAAAGCUCUGUUGUUAGAGAAGAACGUUGGUAGGAGUGGAAAAUCUACCAAGUGACGGUAACUAACCAGAAAGGGACGGCUAACUACGUGCCAGCAGCCGCGGUAAUACGUAGGUCCCGAGCGUUGUCCGGAUUUAUUGGGCGUAAAGCGAGCGCAGGCGGUUCUUUAAGUCUGAAGUUAAAGGCAGUGGCUUAACCAUUGUACGCUUUGGAAACUGUAGGACUUGAGUGCAGAAGGGGUGAGUGGAAUUCCAUGUGUAGCGGUGAAUUGCGUAGAUAUAUGGAGGAACACCGGUGGCGAAAGCGGCUCUCUGGUCUGUAACUGACGCUGAGGCUCGAAAGCGUGGGGAGCAAACAGG
rnacentral:rRNA from 1 species